GUGAAAUGAGACACAGAUGAAUGAAUAUAUAAUAGCACUUCUCAAACUCAGACGCCGCUUGGAAGACAAGAGCCGUGGCUGUCCUUACCUGCAGAGGAGAGAGGCACUCCCCUUACAGCUCCUGGUAGCUGACAGCUGGCAGAAGUUAAAAAAGCCAAGAAUAUGAAGCUAAUUUAUCUGGCAUUGUCAAAACCAACACCACAAUGAGGACAGACCUGUGAAGCAAGCAGAUGACCUGCAGGUGGCUGCCUGGCUGUUACAAUUUAUCAUGAAGGCAUCUCACUUCACUUUUGGCUCCCCUGACGGAAGCA